rnacentral:rRNA from 1 species
GACGAACGCUGGCGGCGUGCUUAACACAUGCAAGUCGAACGGUGAAGCGCCUUCCUUUUUGGUGGGUGUGGAUGAGUGGCGAACGGGUGAGUAACACGUGAGUAACCUGCCCCCUUCUUCUGGAUAACCGCAUGAAAGUGUGGCUAAUACGGGAUAUUCUGGGUCUGUCGCAUGAUGGGUCUGGGAAAGAUAUUGUUUCGGUGGGGGAUGGGCUCGCGGCCUAUCAGCUUGUUGGUGGGGUGAUGGCCUACCAAGGCGGUGACGGGUAGCCGGCCUGAGAGGGUGGACGGUCACAAUGGGACUGAGACACGGCCCAGACUCCUAAGGGAGGCAGCAGUGGGGAAUAUUGCACAAUGGGCGCAAGCCUGAUGCAGCGACGCCGCGUGAGGGAUGGAGGCCUUCGGGUUGUGAACCUCUUUCGCCAGUGAAGCAGGCCUGCCUCGUUUGUGGGUGGGUUGACGGUAGCUGGAUAAGAAGCGCCGGCUAACUACGUG